CUACGGUUGCUCCAGUGAGGAAUAUUGCACAAUGGGGGGAACCCUGAUGCAGCAACGCCGCGUGGAGGAUGACGCAUUUCGGUGUGUAAACUCCUUUUAUAUGUCAAGAAAAUGACGGUAGCAUAUGAAUAAGCGCCGGCUAACUCCGUGCCAGCAGCCGCGGUAAUACGGAGGGCGCAAGCGUUACUCGGAAUCACUGGGCGUAAAGGACGCGUAGGCGGGUUGAAACGUCAGGUGUGAAAGCCUACAGCUUAACUGUAGAACUGCACUUGAAACUCUCAAUCUAGAGUAUGGGAGGGGCAGAUGGAAUUAGUGGUGUAGGGGUAAAAUCCGUAGAUAUCACUAGGAAUACCUAAAGCGAAGGCGAUCUGCUGGAACAUUACUGACGCUAAGGCGUGAAAGCGUGGGGAGCAAACAGGAUUAGAUACCCCCGUAGUC
rnacentral:rRNA from 1 species